CAAGAUUAGCCAUGCAUGUCUAAGUAUAAGCAAUUAUACCGCGAAACUGCGAAUGGCUCAUUAAAUCAGUUAUCGUUUAUUUGAUAGUACCUUACUACUUGGAUAACCGUGGUAAUUCUAGAGCUAAUACAUGCUAAAAAUCCCGACUUCGGAAGGGAUGUAUUUAUUAGAUUAAAAACCAAUGCCCUUCGGGGCUCACUGGUGAUUCAUAAUAACUUUUCGAAUCGCAUGGCCUUGCGCCGGCGAUGGUUCAUUCAAAUUUCUGCCCUAUCAACUUUCGACGGCUGGGUCUUGGCCAGCCAUGGUGACAACGGGUAACGGAGGGUUAGGGCUCGACCCCGGAGAAGGAGCCUGAGAGACGGCUACUACAUCCAAGGAAGGCAGCAGGCGCGCAAAUUACCCAAUCCCGACACGGGGAGGUAGUGACAAUAAAUACUGAUACAGGGCUCUUUAGGGUCUUGUAAUUGGAAUGAGUACAAUUUAAAUCCCUUAACGAGGAACAAUUGGAGGGCAAGUCUGGUGCCAGCAGCCGCGGUAAUUCCAGCUCCAAUAGCGUAUAUUAAAGUUGUUGCAGUUAAAAAGCUCGUAGUUGAACCUUGGGCCUGGCUGGCCGGUCCGCCUCACCGCGUGCACUGGUCCGGCCGGGUCUUUCCCUCUGGGGAACCGCAUGCCCUUCACUGGGUGUGCUGGGGAACCAGGACUUUUACUUUGAAAAAAUUAGAGUGUUCAAAGCAGGCCUAUGCUCGAAUACAUUAGCAUGGAAUAAUAGAAUAGGACGUGUGGUUCUAUUUUGUUGGUUUCUAGGACCGCCGUAAUGAUUAAUAGGGACAGUCGGGGGCAUCAGUAUUCAAUUGUCAGAGGUGAAAUUCUUGGAUUUAUUGAAGACUAACUACUGCGAAAGCAUUUGCCAAGGAUGUUUUCAUUAAUCAGGAACGAAAGUUAGGGGAUCGAAGACGAUCAGAUACCGUCGUAGUCUUAACCAUAAACUAUGCCGACUAGGGAUCGGACGAAGUUAUUUUUUGACUCGUUCGGCACCUUACACGAAAGUAUAAGUUUCUGGGUUCUGGGGGGAGUAUGGUCGCAAGGUGAAUAG
rnacentral:rRNA from 1 species